AUUGAACGCUGGCGGCAGGCCUAACACAUGCAAGUCGAACGAGUGGCGGACGGGUGAGUAAUGUCUGGGAAACUGCCUGAUGGAGGGGGAUAACUACUGGAAACGGUAGCUAAUACCGCAUACCAUCGGAUGUGCCCAGAUGGGAUUAGCUAGUAGGUGGGGAAAAGGCUCACCUAGGCGACGAUCCCUAGCUGGUCUGAGAGGAUGACAAGCAAAACUGGAACUGAGAUACGGGCCAGAAUCCUAUGGGAGGCAGCAGGGGGGAAUAUGGCACAAUGGGCGAAAGCCUGAUGCAGCCAUGCCGCUUGGAUGAAGAAGGCCUGAGGGUUGUAAAGUACUUUCAUCGGGGAGGCGUUACUCGCAGAAGAAGCACCGGCUAACUCCGUGCCAGCCGCCGCGGUAAUAC
rnacentral:rRNA from 1 species